GCGCUAGCUCAGUUGGUUAGAGUGUGGUGCUGAUGACGCCAAGGUUGCGAGUUCGAAACCCCAUAUGAGACA